GAUGAAUGCUGGCGGCGUGCCUAACACAUGCAAGUCGAGCGGCAGCGCGAGUAGUUUACUACUUGGCGGCGAGCGGCGGACGGCUGAGUAACACGUGGGAACAUACCCCAAAGUGAGGGAUAACUGCCCGAAAGGGUGGCUAAUACCGCAUAUGAUCUUCGGAUUAAAGUCUUCGGACGCUUUGGGAGCGGCCCGCGUCGGAUUAGGUUGUUGGUGAGGUAAUGACUCACCAAGCCGACGAUCCGUAGCUGGUCUGAGAGGAUGAUCAGCCAGACUGGGACUGAGACACGGCCCAGACUCCUACGGGAGGCAGCAGUGAGGAAUCUUCCACAAUGGGCGAAAGCCUGAUGGAGCAACGCCGCGUGCAGGAUGAAGGCCUUCGGGUUGUAAACUGCUUUUAUAAGUGAAGAAUAUGACGGUAACUUAUGAAUAAGCACCGGCUAACUACGUG
rnacentral:rRNA from 2 species